AGGCAUUCUCCUAUCUAAGGCUGUGGAAUGAGGGCCUCAUGAUAUUGUUGCAAAUGUGGCUCCUUCGAAAUCGGGUCUUGGUGUCGUGGCGCCUUUGCUCGAGUUGUGAUUUAUCCAAGAGGAUAGUGCCUUCAUCUUCAGUGCGACUUUGGUGCUUUCCCCUCCUGUCAUAURAAAUGUAUGACUGUGGUGGGGUGAGAUCAUGGCUGCGUUGAGGACGUGCUACCUGGUUSAUCCUGCCAGUAGUCAUAUGGCUUG
rnacentral:misc_RNA from 1 species